AUUGAACGCUGGCGGAAUGCUUUACACAUGCAAGUCGAACGGUAGAGGGGGCAACCCCUCGAGAGUGGCGAACGGGUGAGUAAUAUAUCGGAACGUGCCCAGUCGUGGGGGCUAACGUAGCGAAAGUUACGCUAAUACCGCAUACGAUCUAAGGAUGAAAGCGGGGGAUCGCAAGACCUCGCGCGAUGGGAGCGGCCGAAAUCAGAUAAGGUAGUUGGUGGGGUAAAGGCUCACCAAGCCAACGAUCUGUAGAUGGUCUGAGAGGACGACCAGCCACACUGGAACUGAGACACGGUCCAGACUCCUACGGGAGGCAGCAGUGGGGAAUUUUGGACAAUGGACGCAAGUCUGAUCCAGCCAUUCCGCGUGCAGGAUGAAGGCCCUCGGGUUGUAAACUGCUUUUGUACGGAACGAAAAGGUCUCUCUUAAUACGGGAGGCUCAUGACGGUACCGUAAGAAUAAGCACCGGCUAACUACGUGCCAGCAGCCGCCGUAA
rnacentral:rRNA from 1 species